rnacentral:rRNA from 1 species
GACGUAGGGCGCGAGCGUUGUUCGGAUUCAUUGGGCGUAAAGGGUGCGUAGGUGGCGAGGUUAGUCAGGUGUGAAAUCUCGGGGCUCAACCCCGAAACUGCACUUGAUACUGCCUUGCUAGAGUACUGGAGAGGAGAUUGGAAUUUACGGUGUAGCAGUGAAAUGCGUAGAUAUCGUAAGGAAGACCAGUGGCGAAGGCGAAUCUCUGGACAGUUACUGACACUGAGGCACGAAGGCCAGGGGAGCAAACGGG